GAAGGAGUCAGGGAUCGUUCUAAAAAAUCGCCUCUUCCUGUUUGGACAUUGCUGCAGGGCAUCGAUUGUGAUCAUGUUCAUGCAGUCCCUGCACUAGGCAGUGGUGCUGUCAGCCCUGCACUGCACUGCACUGCACUGGGCAAGGCCAAAGACUCGAUCAGGGCUCGUGCCUGAGGCGGUGGAGUUGAAGCCUCUGGAGAUGGGGACAUUGGCUUUGAGGGAUUGAAGGAGGCUAUUCAGGUUCUCCUCAUAACUGCUUCCUGCCGUGUAAUUUGUAGAGCCCAAGCAAACUUCAACUGCUUUUGCUAUAUGCGGGAGAAGCAUGAAUCGCAGAAGUGAAAAAAACAGGUGACUUGUAAACACAAUCAAACGUAUCUCUCGCUUUCCGCCUCUCUCUCUCUCUCUCUGCUGUCUUUAAUUCUGUCUGCUUUCUCUACUUCUCUCACUUUCUCAAUUUGCUGUUUGUUUUUUUUUGGGCAUGUAUUCCACGCUCCCUCUCCCUCGAGAGUAUGGUUUACUUCUACUCCUUCAGGUAGACGGCCUAUUUGGGAGAUUUUUUAUUAACCUAAAGUUUUGGUAAUCACCUAAUAAUCACUGGAUGAUAUUUCUCAAAAACAAAUUUUGAAAUAUGAGUUUUUUAACAGUUAGAUCUCACCUUUAAAAAUUGGAUGAUUUCUAUUCAAUCUUGAGACAUUAUUUUUUUCAAGCACUUUGAGGGAAUUAAAAAUAUUUUUUAUUAAAAUUAAUUUAUCUGUUAGAACGUUUAUAUCCUAAAAUUUAGGGUCUCAAAAUUAUAGAAAAUUGUUUGGUGCCAUCAAGCCCGCAAGUGUUAUUAUGCAGGCUUGGAGAUCUACACCAUCCACCAAAGAAAGUGUCGAUCUACACCAUAAAUAUUAGUCCUCCAAAAGUAAAAUCAACCGUUCAAAUAUUUUUUUCUAAAAAUAUCAUUCUAGUUUUUUAUUUAUUUAUUUUUACAGAUUAAUAAUCUGCAUGUUGAAGAUUAUGUAUUCUCUAAAACCAAGAGUAAAGUGCAUUUCAAAAAUGAAUUAUUAAGGGGACCUCAUUUAUACAUAUGAGUCCAUGGACUCAUAGAAAUCGUAUCUUAAAAUUAUUCUUACAUGGGUAGCUGUAGAGGUAAGGUGCGCCUUCAAAAUUUAUCAUGGCAUAUAAUUUUGAUGUAAAAUGUUCUUAGAAUUAUCUCAAAAUCUAUUUUUAUAUCUAAUUAUAAAAUUUUAAAUUUCAAAAAUGGUUAAAAUCAAGUAGAUCUAUAGACAUAUGAAAAUAUUGAAAAUGGACGGUGUAGAUAAUAUGUUGUAAAAUGCACUAUUUCUGAGACUUAAAAUCUUUUUAUUUUUCAUGGUCAUACAUCUCGAUCUCGAGAUGAUCAAUCAAAGGGUUUUUCAACAUUAAAACUACCUUUUCCGAUAGAUUUUUGAGGUGCAUCCAUAGCUCUACAUUAUAAGGUUGCAACCUUAUAUAAACCUUUUCCUUCUUAAACAGGUUUUAUCUCAGGGUGUAAAUAAACAGUAUACUCAAGGAAAUAUAAUAUCUUCACUUAAAACAUGGCGACUCCACCAAGGCCAUGACAUCGGAGUUGUUAUUGAUGUGGAAAAGCAAAGCCAAAGGCUUUUUCCUUCGUUUUUUUCUAGGGAAAAUUACAAACCAAUCUAACUUUUUUUCUCUUUUUUUUUUUCGAAACAAACUUUCUAUGCAAAUACCCUCAAGAGAAAAAAUUCAUUAUUUUUAGACAAAAUGCCAUUCUCAAACACUAAAAUCAUUUUGGCCAAAUUUGACGUUGACUUUUGGACCCCAGUAGCAUAUUGUCAGAACGCACAUCACAUUGCCGGAGCGCACAAGUGCCAGACCACCCUAAGACAACUAGCAGACUGAAACCUGGACUGUGCCAGAGCCCAAUAGCACAAUGUCGGAGCGCACAUCACAUUGCCGGCCCUUUACUUAGUGCUGGAACCCUGUAAUCCAGUAACAUCUACUAUCAGAUUGCUUUUUGCAACUGCCCAACCGUACUUUACACAAUGUCGGAGCCCUAAUGUUGGACCGUAACUAGAGCCCUACUACCGGACCACAACUGGAGCCGUACUGCCGGACCGUACUUACACAGUGUCAAAGCCCCUAGUUUGGUGAGAUAGAUGAGAGAGAGGGCCCUAAUGUCGGACCGUAACUGGAGCCCUACUGCCGGACAGCAAUGGGAGCCCUACUGCCUAACCGCACUUGCACAGUAUCAAAGCCCCUAUUUUGGUGAGAAAAAAGAGAGGGAGGCAUUUUAAAGUAAAAGCAAGGGAUGGUAGUUUAGCCAUUUUUUUUACUUUUUAUCUUAGUUGGGGGUAUUUGCAUAGAAAAUAUAUUUAAAAAAAAAAAAGUGAAAAAAAAAGUCCGUAUAAAGUGUAGUCUUUGGGUUUUUGUAAUCUUUUCCACUAAAUUUCAGUUGGGCGUAUUUGCAUAUAAAAUAUAUUUAAAAAAAAAAAGGUGGAAAAAAAAAAAAAGGGUUAGAACAAGUCCGUAGAAAGUGUAGUAUUUGGGUUUUUGUAAUCUUUUCCACCAAAUUUCGUGCAAGAUGGGAGCCACUUUCUUGUUGACGCUGUGCAGAAGUGUAUGGAGGCGUUUGUUAAUGCGGACUGCGUCAUGGAAAUGACCCGCUCUUUCGUUAAUAUUGCUAUUUCUCCUAGAUCCAAAUGGACUUCCGUGUAGUAUACACUUACUACGGAUGCAAGAUGCGUUGCAUGUUUUUAGCCGUUCAUUUUCAUGAGUAGAAAUGAUAUUGUCAGAGGACACGGUUUAUACGAGUCUGCGUUCUCAUAUGAAGGUAUGUAUUCUCUCUCUAUUAUUUAUUUUUUGAGAUGGAUUUUGCAUUAAAUAUUUUAAAUAUAUAUAAUCUCUAAUAUUUAUCUAAAGAAGGGUGAGGAUCUUAAACUUUUUUUUUACCAUUUAUUUUAAUCCUUUGUGGCGGCGCCAUUUUUUUGCGUCCAUCUUUAAGAUGGAUGCUUGGUGCGUCAAGGGACGUAAAUAUAGUAUUCUAUCCCCUGACGCACAAUAAUAUUUUCCAAUUAUUCAAUACAAUUGUUCUCGAUAGUUAAAAAGUAUUUUAGAAACACCUCGAUUAUAGCAUGUUUUUGUUGCACAUUGUAUAACAACUUCCUUGGGCGAAAGUGUCACUUGAGAGAUUUUUUCAUAUUUAAAAUUUGGGACGCAUAUUUUUAAGAAACAUAAUGGAUUGGAUGUUCUUCAACACCGAGAUCUUGCCCUUCAAAAAUUGGAUAGCUCUUGUUCAAUCUGGCACAUUAGUAUUUUCGAGGAACAUAGAGAGUCCUAUUUAAUUUUUGUAUGAAGUUCAUUGUUAGAUUCUACAUGCUGCAACCCCAAAUGUUUGGUCUCCAAAAAAUAUUCAUAGCAUAUCGGCUGGUAACGGACUAGGUGGCCCAAUUCUGCCCCAAAGAACUAGGGCUUGGGCCACAAAAUUAUAGAAUUGAGGUUGGCAAGGCUUGGGGCCCAUAGUACUGGCCCGGUCUAGCUCAGCCUAAUCCUAUUUCUUUUUCCUUUUCUUCUUAAUUUCUCUUUCAUUGUAUGUGACCUUGCCAAACUCGUCUUUGACAAGGCCAAGUCUCAGCCUGGGCCAAGGCCUCUACAACCCUGUUUUUUUUGUUUUUUUUGGUAAAUAAAUUCUUAGCCUCUUUAGCCCAAUCAUUUAACAAUACUUCAACAAAAGGUUUUUACUGUAAAAAAAACUCCCUUAUGUGAUUAAAUAUUGGAGUUUUCUCACAUCAAUUGGCUGCUAAUUAGUACGAAAAAAUACGUUUGAACCAACUAGUACAAAAAAAAAAGAAAAAUUUCAUAUAAAACCCUAAUUCUUCGUAUUAUUUCAUGGUAUACAUUCUUUUCCUUUUUUUUCAAGCGGCAUAAAAAAAACCUCUAAAGAUUUCAUCAUACCCCAUUAUCUCUUAUCUCCAUCUUUUAUUGACUUUUGAUUAUAAAAAUUAGCCCCAACAAAUCUUUUGUAUCAUUUUAACCAAUAAACUUUUUUAAUGGGUGGAAUAGAAAAAGAAGGUUAAAAACGUUUUUGGGGUGAAAUGAUGUAAAAAUAUUUAUUAGGGCUAAUUUUUAUGGUAAAAAGUCAAUAAAAAAGGGAGAUGAGAGAUGACGGGGUACGGUGAAAUCUUUAGGAAUUUCUUUAUGCUCCUUGAAAGUAAAACGGAAAGAGGGUCUACCAUGAAAUAAUAUGAGGAAUUACAGCUCUAUACAAACUUUUCUCAAAAAAAUAUGUUGUGACCAGUGGUUUAAAAAACGAACCGGUGCCCUUGAUUGGGCACUCCAAAAAUCAAUCCGGAUCAGUGAAUAGGCUAUCCGGAUCGGGAAUCGACUGAAUCGGUCGGAUUAAGCUUUGAAAAAAAUUCAAAAAAAUUAUUAAAUUUCAUUAUAAAUGUUGUUUUUUAGGAAUCCAGUAAAAAAUUGGGGUAUUAUUGCAUUAUUAACUUUCAUUUUUUUCAUCAAUUUACGAAUAUUGAGAUGUUAUUUCCCUAUAUGAAAUUAUGUUAACCAUUAAAUUUACAUCAUACAAAUCUUGAAUUGGCAAACUCUAAUCCGCUAAAAACAAACCCAAAUUAUUACAACCUAAUUAACUAUGAUAUUAUAUAUUGAAAGUAAAAUAGUUGGUUUAUAUUUUAUAAUUAUUUUAUUAAACAAAUAAUAACAAAUCCAAAAAAAUAAGAAUAUGUUGUGCUACAUUUUUUUUGCUUGUUUUAUUUUUUAUUUUUACUUUAUUUUCUUCCUUUUAUACUUUGUUUUUGAAAUACCUUUUCUUUUUUAUUUGUCCCUUUUACUUUAUUUUGGUUUUUGUAGAGGAUAAAAAAGGUGUUUUUUUAAAAAAAAACCUUUUAUUUUUUUAUUUUUUCCUUUUACUUUAUUUUGUUUGGACAAAUUUGUGGUAGAGGACAAAAAAAGGGAUGGCGCCCAAGGGGUUCGAAGUCGGGACUUAUAAGAAAAAUUUAAGAGCCAAAGCCAAUAGUGUAUAAAUAUUAUAAUCAUUUUGCGUGCAUGUGGUAAUUAUCCCACAUCUUUAAUCUAAGUGUGCAUACUGGAGGGGCAUUACUAGAUGCGUUGGUUGCGUUGCAGGCUGCUUCUCAAUACUGAGAUUCCAUGCGCGCUUAACGUGAGGCAAUAAAAAUAUGCUCUUAAAUUUUAAAUAAAUUACAGACUUUGGCCUAACAAUUUUUAGCACUUGAAAUCGAUUGUGUAACUGUAGUGACUCGGCGAGUUUCACAAGUUAUCAUUACGAAUCCGUCCGGCUCUCUCUAGACAUGUUAUCGCUAUGAACCCGUCCGGUUCUCUCUAGACAUGGGCAGUCGGUUCCCGUCCGGAUCUCUUUAGACAUGGGUGGUUUUUUGUAUUUUGGUGGAAUCGGCACACAUGAGCGGUUUUUUGUAUUUUGGUAGAACCGACACGGGGUGCCGAUUCCUGUGUCGAGCCAGGAUGAGGAUGUUUGGACAUGGGCGGUUUUUCGUGUUUUGGUAGAACCAGCACACAUGGGUGGUUUUUUGUAUUUUGGUGGAACCGGCACACAUGGGUGGUUGUUUGUAUUUUGGUGGAACCUGCACGGGGUGCCGGUUCCCAUGUCGAGCCAGGAUGAGGAUGAGGAUGUUUGGACAUGGGCGGUUCUUCGUGUUUUGGUGGAACCGGCAUGAGGUGUCGAUUCUCUCGUCGAACCGGGAUGAGGAUGAGGAUGUUUGGUGGAACCGGUUUUUUUUAUUUUGGUGGAAUCGGCACACAUGCGAGGUUUUUUGUAGUUUGGUGGAACCGGCACGGGGUGCCGAUUCCCCGUGUCGAGCCUGGAUGAGGAUGAGAAUGUUUGGACAUGGGCGGUUCUUCGUGUUUUGGUGGAACCGGCAUGGGGUGCCAAUUCUCAUGUUGAACAGGGAUGAGGAUGAGGAUGUUUGGUGGAACCAGCACGGGGUGCCGAUUCCCGUGUCGAACAGAGAUGAGGAUGAGGAUGUUUGGUGGAACCAGCACGGGGUGCCGAUUCCCGUGUCGAACCGAGAUGAGGAUGAGGAUGAUUUGCAGGCCUUUCAACAGUCGCUAGGGAGAUGGCCUUUCCGGUGCAGUUCAGGUUGGUUGUUGUUUUGGUGGAACCGACAAGGGAGUGCCGACGUGUCGAACAGGGCGAGUCCGGUUCGACUCGGUGACUUUUCAAACACUGGUUGUGUGACCAAUUGGUGUGAAACUUUAUCACACAUAUAAUCACAUGAAGGAGCUUUUUAAAAAGGGAAAAGUUUUAAUAAGGUUGCAACCUUAAAAUGUAGAAUCACAUAUGCACCUCAAAAAUCUAUCGGAAAUGUUGUUUUAAUGUUGAAAAAACCCUCUAAUCCAUCAUCUCGACAUCGAGAUGUAUGAAUAUGAAAAAAAAAAAAAGUUUUUGAGUCCCGAAAAUAGUGCAUCUUGCAACACAUUAUCUAGACCUUUUAUUUUCAAGAUUCUCUUAUAUUUAUAGAUAUACUUGAUUUUAACUAAUUGUAAAUUUUUAAAUUUUCUAAAUAGGUAUGAAAAUAGAUUUUAAGGUAAUUCUAAUAAUUUUUUACAAUAAAAUUAUAAAGUGCGUCUUAAUUGGAUUGUUUAAGGUUGCAACUUUAUAGAAACCGCACCCUUUUAGAAAUAUUUUUACUCAAAUAGUUUUACCCGUGCCAAAUGUGCCCUAAUAAGAGAAAACGUAUCAUCCGAUUUUAUAAAAACAAGCCACAUGAUGUGCGGUAUUAGCAUGUCAAUUUGUUUAGAAUGCGAUUUUGAUUUCAACGAAAAUGGUAAUGUGGGUGAGAACAAUCAAACGUUGUUAUUACCGAUGAAUAAAAGGCCUUUAAAAUAUAAAACUAUGAGCAAUUUUAUUAGCGUUGUUAUUGAGAAUGCUCUUUUUAUAAAAAAUAAAAAAUAAAUUGAGAUUGCUCUUCCAUUUUACUAAAAAAAAAAAGAAGAGCAAUCUCAAAUAUUAUUUGUACCUACAUAUUUCAUCAUUCUCUCACGUCAAAGGCAAGGCAUGUUAGAACUUGGAAGUGGGUUCGUUAGAAAUUCACGCUCACAGCAUCCAUACACUCACUAGAAGCCCCGUGCCGAGACACUAUAUUGAAAAGGACAAAAUUUAUAUAAGUGUGAGGCUCUAAACAAUCAAAUUAGGGCGCACAUAAAACAUUUCACUAGAACAGGUUGUUUUGAUGCCCAAAUAUUUUUAAAUUGAUCAGCUUGGUAUCAAGAUGCAUGGACAUGAGAAAAAAAUAGAUUUCAAGUUUUGAAAAUAGUGUCUUGUAAUACCUUUUUAAACCAUCAAUUUUCAAGUUUUCAUAAAUCUGCUGGAUCUACACUAUUUUUUAAACUUUAAAUUUUGUAAUUAGAUAUAAAAAUAUAUUUUAAGGCUAUCACAAAUAUAUUUUAAGGCUAUCACAAACAUUCUCGACACUAUUUGAAGGUAGGCUUUAUUUUGAUUGUUUAAAGCCUCGCCUUUAUACAAACCGCACCCUUAUAAAAAAGGGAUAUGUUAGAGUACUCGUAUAGGUGAAUAUUUAAUUAAGGGCCAGAGCAAUUUAUAAUGGGAAAAGUACAGAUAUCCUCAAGUUUGUACUUUCUAGACAACCUUCCCCCAACAAAACUUUUCUUUGCAACUUUUACCCCAAAUCAUACUUUUUUAGCAAAUAAACACCCAAGUCAAAAAAAAAAGUAAAAAAUACCAAAAUGGCCUCUUGUAAGAUAAAGUACCUCUCUCUUUGCCAGUCGUGGUCUCGGUCUGACAAUAGGAUAGCGGUCUGGCACUAGCUGCACGCGGUCCGACAAUUGUUUCUUUGUCUAGGUUGUCGGUUCGGCAAAAGGAAAUGCGGUCCGGCACUAGGUGCCCUCGAUCUGACAAAUUUUUGAUGGGGUCCGGCAGUUGUUCUACACGGUCCGGCACAUGAUGACUUCGGUCUGGCGCGUCUUUACCUCGGUCCCGCACAUCUUUACCUCGGUCCCGCACAUCUUUACAUCGGUUCGACAAUCGUUUACUACGGUCCGAUAGUCAACUCUUGGUUGCGUAUUUUACGAGGAUGUGACGCAAGUUUGUACUAACAAGGGCAUUUUGGUCUAAAUAAAUAUAACUUUUUGACUUUGGGGGGGGGGGAUUUGCUAGAAAAAUAUUUUUUGGGGUAAAAGUUGCAAAAGUAAAAUUGGUUGGGGUGAGGUUGUGUAGAAAGUCCAAGGCUAGGGGAUAUAUGCAAUUUUUCCUUUUAUAAUUGUACUCAACAAAUUUUGGAUAUUUUUAUAACAUUGUUUUCUACAUUAAAUAGUUUUUUAAUAAUGAUAUUUUAGGUCAUUAGGAGAGAUGUGAGUGUGUGAUAUCAUCUACAUAGAUUUGACAUCACUCACAUAAAACAUUUAAUGCUCUAUGUAGGUGAUGUCACACCCCAUGUGAAUGAUAUCACACAUCUCCUAAUGACCAAAAGUAUCUUUACCAAAAAUAUAUUAUAUUACAAAAUAAUGGUAUGUAAGUGUCUAAAAUUUGUUGAGUACAAUUGUAAAAUGCUCUAUAGUAUUAGCACCUUAACAUAACCGUUUAAUUAAUGUACUCAAGUAUUUUGGACACUCAUAUACAUUUGUUUUACAAUAUAAAUUUUUUUAAGAGACAACACUUUUCGUAAUUAUGAGGAGUAAAUGGGAUAUUUUUAUGAUAAGAAGCAGUCAUUGCUCCAUGGGAGUCAUAUCACAAUAAUGUCAUCAUUCCUUAUAAGUAAUAUAUUCUUUCGAUCGAGAAUUUUAAUUUUAUCUCUGAUUAAUUAUCUAAAAUACCCCUAGACAAAAAAGUUGUUAUAUAAUAGGAUAAGGGUAUUGAGUGUUAAAAAACAUUGAAUACAUUAUAAAAAUACUCAUGUACAUGCAUACCCUACCAUAAUUCUAUAAAAAAUACCAAAGCACAAAACAUAUCUACAUUCAUGAGGUCGUAGUCUAUCUCUCGGUUCUACUAUCAUCUUCUCUCUCUCUCUGCCAUGGUCAUGUCUCUUGAUUCCCAGAUUAUACACUAUACCCUCUCUCCCAUACACAUUGUAUGAAGUCAUCUCUCCAGGAUGUGCCUUACCGGACUCUCUCUCAUGGCAUGUAUUGGCCUCACAAUGACCACUUGGGACAUAACACCCUCCCCCUCCCUCUCUCUCUCUCCCUCUAUAGCUACAUCUCAAGUAAAUGCCCCUAACUUACAUUUUGGAGUGCCAAUGGUCCCGCCCAGGCUAGAGGCUAUCGGGCAGGGCCUAGAUUUUGGAUCAGGUUUAGGCCAACUUUCGGCCGGGCUAGGGCUAUAUGAAGAUGUCCAGCGAUUUUCGAGGUUGGUCGGACCAUACACCGACCGACCCAAAAGCUCGAACUUUAAAUGCGUCUCUUCUCUCUCUCAAAACUGAAAAGCCUAAACACCCGGUCUGCUUCUCUCUGUCUCUUUCUCUCUCUUAUGCAGGCAAUGAUGGCUACGUUGUUGCGUGUGGAAGCUCUAAAAUCCAACGAGUUGAUUUUUUGCAAAUAAAGAGCGAGAAAAAUAAAAUUUGAAAUAAGCAAAAAAAAUAAAACAAAAAAAAAUAUUGUAAAAAAAAUACUCGGAUUUAUGUGGUUCACACCAAAUAGCUAUAUUCAUAGGCAUGGCAAACUAAAAUCCACUAUACCGAAAAGAGUUACAUCACGGAUUUUGAGAUACGAAAUGUAUCUUACUAAUCAUCGACAAUACCCAGUCGAACAAUCCUUGAAACUACUCUCCAGACCAAUAACACCUAUCAUUUAUCCUUCUUUCAUACUCUGAGAACUAUUACCGAACACACCAGAUAGAGACGCAAGAGCAAAGAGAAACCAAUUUUCUCUCUACAAAGAGGAUACCAUCCAAAUUCUUCAUGAGAACAACUUCUCUAUAAGAAAAAAAAAUAUCUCUCCUUGCAGGCUAAUUGUUUCUCUGACUGGAACCUCACUUUUCUCUCUAAAGACUCCUUCAUAUGCUCCUCCUCCUCCUCUUCCUAUGUGCAAGAGGUCUAUGCUCCUCCUCCUCCUCUUCCUAUGUGCAAGAGGCCUUACCUCUAUAGGGCACAUUUUUUCAUUUCUUUCUCAUUUAAUAGGUAUAAAGUUAUGAAUCCCAUAACAAAUAGAAUCCAUAUCCCAUUAGGAAAUGUGUACAAAAGGUAAAUGGUCUCAUUAUAUACUUUCCCUUAGGAAAUAUCUUGUGUUAUUUGGUCUCCGAAAAACAAGAAAUGUUACAUCCUACAAAACAUAAAUCUUUAUAAAUAUAGAAACUCUUCAAUAUCAAUAUCAAUCCCAAUAAUAUAGAAUUUUCUUAUGCAGGUGAUUUUCAAUAUCACCAUAAUCAACAUUCCCUCGUCUUCCGUGAAGAAAACAAACCCAAAAACCUCCCACCAUUCAAGAGGCCCCAAGAAUCACUCCAUGGCGCUUUUGUUGUCUCACUAAAAACAAAAGGACACGGUUUGUAUGAGUCCAUGUAGAAAGGAGUCACCUCCCAAAAAUCUAUUUUUGUGAUGGAUUUUUUUACCUAAUUUUUAAGGACA
rnacentral:lncRNA from 1 species